rnacentral:lncRNA from 1 species
UGGCCCCUGAAUUCCUCCAACUUCAGUCAUCUCUUCUUGCACUGAUCUUGAUAAAUCUUGAUCUGUUUACACCUUAAAGAACCCUUCUUUUUUCACUUCUGGAUUCACACACCUCCAGAUAUCAACACAGUACCCACUAUCACGUACACCCCAGGCCUCACAACCUCGCUCUAGAUACCAUAUUCAAAAAGAGAGGACAAAAGUGUCAUUGCCCACGCCACUAAACUUUCUGUUGUUUUAAUAAAACAGGCACACGUGACAAAGAGAGAAAAUGAGAAACAGAGAAGGGUCAAGAU